CACACGAUUCACCAAAGACUUCAAUAUUCAGCCGACUUCAAAUCGUCAGGCCUCAAUUGUAUUCCUGCCCAGCUUUUUGAUGAGAAAGGACAAGAAAUUAAAAACCCACUUUUACUGAAGAAUGAGCAAAAAGUUUGGUUUUCUUAUGGUAAAGAUUACAGGUCUCCCUUAAACUGUGUUCUGAGUUUGACCUUUGACAAAGUGACUGCAGCUGAAAAGGAUGGUAUCACGGUUAUUUAUAAAAGUCUUCUGGAUCAUAAUGCUGAUCUGCUGCCAGGAUUUGACAAUUGGAAAGUUUAUACAGGAUUUCCAGAUACCUUCCAAUGUACAAACCACCAGACACUUCAGACUUUGGAAAAGGUGGAUGUGGAUAGCCAUUUUAUACAA